GGCCUUGAUGGUGUAAAGGUAGCACACGUUCCUGGUAUUGAUGAAACGCUGGUUCAACUCCCGUCUGAGGUCG